UCGAACGGUGAACACGGAGCUUGCUCUGUGGGAUCAGUGGCGAACGGGUGAGUAACACGUGAGCAACCUGCCCCUGACUCUGGGAUAAGCGCUGGAAACGGCGUCUAAUACUGGAUAUGUGACGUGACCGCAUGGUCUGCGUCUGGAAAGAAUUUCGGUUGGGGAUGGGCUCGCGGCCUAUCAGCUUGUUGGUGAGGUAAUGGCUCACCAAGGCGUCGACGGGUAGCCGGCCUGAGAGGGUGACCGGCCACACUGGGACUGAGACACGGCCCAGACUCCUACGGGAGGCAGCAGUGGGGAAUAUUGCACAAUGGGCGCAAGCCUGAUGCAGCAACGCCGCGUGAGGGACGACGGCCUUCGGGUUGUAAACCUCUUUUAGCAGGGAAGAAGCGAAAGUGACGGUACCUGCAGAAAAAGCGCCGGCUAACUACGUGCCAGCAGCCGCGGUAAUACGUAGGGCGCAAGCGUUAUCCGGAAUUAUUGGGCGUAAAGAGCUCGUAGGCGGUUUGUCGCGUCUGCUGUGAAAUCCGGAGGCUCAACCUCCGGCCUGCAGUGGGUACGGGCAGACUAGAGUGCGGUAGGGGAGAUUGGAAUUCCUGGUGUAGCGGUGGAAUGCGCAGAUAUCAGGAGGAACACCGAUGGCGAAGGCAGAUCUCUGGGCCGUAACUGACGCUGAGGAGCGAAAGGGUGGGGAGCAAACAGGCUUAGAUACCCUGGUAGUCCACCCCGUAAACGUUGGGAACUAGUUGUGGGGUCCAUUCCACGGAUUCCGUGACGCAGCUAACGCAUUAAGUUCCCCGCCUGGGGAGUACGGCCGCAAGGCUAAAACUCAAAGGAAUUGACGGGGACCCGCACAAGCGGCGGAGCAUGCGGAUUAAUUCGAUGCAACGCGAAGAACCUUACCAAGGCUUGACAUAUACGAGAACGGGCCAGAAAUGGUCAACUCUUUGGACACUCGUAAACAGGUGGUGCAUGGUUGUCGUCAGCUCGUGUCGUGAGAUGUUGGGUUAAGUCCCGCAACGAGCGCAACCCUCGUUCUAUGUUGCCAGCACGUAAUGGUGGGAACUCAUGGGAUACUGCCGGGGUCACUNNGAGRAANGGWGGGGAWNAACUUCAAUCAUCAGGCCCCUUANNUCUUGGGCUUCAGCAWGCUACAUGGCCGGUACAAAGGCUGCAANACC
rnacentral:rRNA from 1 species